rnacentral:rRNA from 1 species
GGUUAAGUUAAUAAGGGCACACGGUGGAUGCCUUGGCGUUAGGAGCCGAAGAAGGACGCAGCGAACUGCGAUAAGCCUCGGG